AAGAUUGAAGAUGAGGAACUCAUAUCCUACAUCUUGACGGGCUUGGAUGAAGCCUUUGAUCCUGUGGUGUCAGCCGUGGCGGCGCGUGCUGAUCCCAUCUCGGUGGGAGAGCUGUUUACGCAGCUCAUUAGCUUCGAAC
rfam:Sorghum bicolor cultivar BTx623 chromosome 4, whole genome shotgun sequence.